rnacentral:lncRNA from 1 species
CCCAUGGAAUUUCCUUGUAAAAAUUACCCUUGCCCAUGGAAUUUCCUUUUUAAAUUAGGCCUUCCCCGUGGAAUUUCCAUUCAAAAUUUGGCUGUGUCCAUGGAAUUUCCAUGUGUAAAUUACCCCUCCCUAUGGAACAUUUACUCCUCCUCAUGGGACAUUUACUCCCGGAAAUUUCUGUCUAAUAUAUAUGUCCUCCCAUGGAAUUUCCAUCCCAUUAAAUU